rnacentral:rRNA from 1 species
CAGUAGCCGCGGUAAUACGUAGGUGGCAAGCGUUGUCCGGAAUUAUUGGGCGUAAAGGGCUCGCAGGCGGUUUCUUAAGUCUGAUGUGAAAGCCCCCGGCUCAACCGGGGAGGGUCAUUGGAAACUGGGAAACUUGAGUGCAGAAGAGGAGAGUGGAAUUCCACGUGUAGCGGUGAAAUGCGUAGAGAUGUGGAGGAACACCAGUGGCGAAGGCGACUCUCUGGUCUGUAACUGACGCUGAGGAGCGAAAGCGUGGGGAGCGAACAGGAUUAGAGACCCCCGUAGUCCCUGUCUCUUAUAA